GCGAGAUGAAAGGCCAAAGAUAGCAGUAAGCUCAAAGCUGAAAGGCGAACCCAAUAAAUGUGUAAACAUGGAAUAUGAUCAAGUCGAAGGUUUCGAAGGGGUGAAAGAAGACGUGCGUAAGCUGCCCAGAGAUAGGUGAUGGAGCUACAUCUUCUUUUGGAUUCAAUGAUAUUGAAGAACUUAAUGAGGCUUCUAGUUGUAGAUUCCAGAUUCCAAUUUAUCAUUUUGAUCACAAGCAGAAGUGGAUGACAAUGAAGCGAGGAAAUAGAGAUCCGAAGAUUUGAUUGCUAUUGAAUAAAGAAAUCGCCCUCAUGAUAAGGGCUAUUUUUUUUGAAUUUUCAUGUAAUAUUUUGUGAUCAUAUUUAUUGUAUAGAUUGAUUAUGUACAUAUAUGAAGCUUGAA